CAACUCGACUACAUGAAGCUGGAAUCGCUAGUAAUCGCGAAUCAGCAUGUCGCGGUGAAUACGUUCCCGGGUCUUGUACACACCGCCCGUCACACCAUGGGAGUUGGUAACGCCCGAAGCCAGUGACCCAACCUUAAGAGGAGGGAGCUGUCGAAGGUGGGACCGAUAACUGGGGUGAAGUCGUAACAAGGUAUC
rnacentral:rRNA from 1 species